rnacentral:rRNA from 1 species
AACGAACGCUGGCGGCAGGCUUAACACAUGCAAGUCGAGCGCCCCGCAAGGGGAGCGGCAGACGGGUGAGUAACGCGUGGGAACGUACCCUUUGCUACGGAAUAGCUCCGGGAAACUGGAAUUAGUACCGUAUGUGCCCUACGGGGGAAAGAUUUAUCGGCAAAGGAUCGGCCCGCGUUGGAUCAGCUAGUUGGUGGGGUAAUGGCCUACCAAGGCGACGAUCCAUAGCUGGUCUGAGAGGAUGAUCAGCCACAUUGGGACUGAGACACGGCCCAAACUCCUACGGGAGGCAGCAGUGGGGAAUAUUGGACAAUGGGCGCAAGCCUGAUCCAGCCAUGCCGCGUGAGUGAUGAAGGCCUUAGGGUUGUAAAGCUCUUUCACCGGAGAAGAUAAUGACGGUAUCCGGAGAAGAAGCCCCGGCUAACUUCGUGCCAGCAGCCGCCGUAAAAC